UUGUCAGAAUCAACUUCCACCCAGGACGACACGACAACAACUACUACUACACUCUCCACCAAUGCCGCUGACUUUGAAUCAACUUCCACCCAAGACGACACGACAACAACAACUGAUUCUACUACUACACUCUCUACCACUGCCGCCAACUCUGAAUUAACUUCCACCCAACAUGCCCAAGACGACACGACAACAACAACGGAUUCUACUACUACACUCUCUACGACUGCCGCCA